ensembl:lncRNA
CAACAUAGGAGGGCCACGCACAGGAAGCAGCUCGUUCAGUAGUUUAGUUGGAAUAGGGUCCAGUAUGCAGCUUGAAGGUUUAGAGGCCAUGAUUAUUUUCAUCAUUGUGUCAAGCGAUAUAGUACUAAAACACUUGAGUGUCUCUCUUGAUCCUAGGUCCUGGCAGAGUUGUGCAGACUCAGGACAACUGAGCUUUGAAGGAAUACGCAGAUUUAAAGAGGAGUCCGUAAUUUGCUUUCUAAUAAUCAUGAUCUUUUCCUCAAAGAAGUUCAUGAAUUUAUUACUGCUGAAGUGAAAGCCAUCCUCUCUUGGAACGGAAUCAAAUUCCUCUGUGGAACAGUCAGAACUGACGCUAGAGCCUGAUGUCAUCUCCCCCUACACGUUCAACAGAUGAGCCUAUCCUACACUGACAUCUGCUGGACAGAAACCAGUUCUCUCUUCCUCAUCACCGUAGACUGUUCUGUUCAUGGAAUUUAUAGUACAUUUUUACUACUUAAUUUUAUGAAAUCACAUUGUAACCUGUUUGUUAUAAAUAUGGUUCAUUCUAAUCUCUACGUUAUAAAGCAUUUUAUUAAUUCUACCCAUUUGUGCAACCUAGUCACUAAAGUGUUUGAUGAGACUAUUAUUGUAGUCUAGUAGGUCUACUGUGUAGUCUACUACGUUCUUUUAAACCACUCCAAACAAGAAGUUCCCUCACAGGAAAAAUAUAUUCUAUCUAUGAUUUCAUUUUGCAUGUCUGCUGCUUUGUUGAAAACAAUUAAACAUUUUACAUUGAGAAUGUGAAGGCAAUAUACACUAUGUCAAUCAUGAAUGAUCCACAUGUUAAAAUAACUGUCAUAUUUGUUUUAAACUCUGGCUGGAUUCCAGUAAGAAUUACACAUCAUUUUGCAAAC